rnacentral:rRNA from 1 species
GACGAACGCUGGCGGCGUGCUUAACACAUGCGAGUCGAACGGAAAGGCCCUGCUUUUGUGGGGUGCUCGAGUGGCGAACGGGUGAGUAACACGUGAGUAACCUGCCCUUGACUUUGGGAUAACUUCAGGAAACUGGGGCUAAUACCGGAUAGGAGCUCCUGCUGCAUGGUGGGGGUUGGAAAGUUUCGGCGGUUGGGGAUGGACUCGCGGCUUAUCAGCUUGUUGGUGGGGUAGUGGCUUACCAAGGUUUUGACGGGUAGCCGGCCUGAGAGGGUGACCGGCCACAUUGGGACUGAGAUACGGCCCAGACUCCUACGGGAGGCAGCAGUGGGGAAUAUUGCACAAUGGGCGGAAGCCUGAUGCAGCAACGCCGCGUGCGGGAUGACGGCCUUCGGGUUGUAAACCGCUUUCGCCUGUGACGAAGCGUGAGUGACGGUAAUGGGUAAAGAAGCACCGGCUAACUACGUG